rnacentral:lncRNA from 1 species
GGUAUUGUUUUUUUUAAAGAAAACUCGGUGAUUUUGACAUCCAGUGUUGGUGAUUGAUUUCUGUCAGUUUUGGAUCUUUCCAGAUUUUAUAUUGUUUUUUGUGUUUAAAUGAAGUUUUUACUGUGCGUCGAGUGUGAAUCUGGUUUAAAGCUUUGGAUACCUUCAGAGAACUUUUAUCAAAGUUAAUUUUUCUUGCGACGGGGAAUCAGUAAGCUGAUGAAUCCUGGUGCUGUUAAUCAUGAAUCUAACCUCCACCUGUCUCUUUCUCUUUCUCUUUCUGACUUUCUGCACUUGCGUGUCAACCUUGUACGAUCCACAUGGUAGAUUCGAGCUGUGUUUUCUUGCACAAGCAGCAUCAGAAAAAUAUCGUUUCUUUAAUGUUGGCUUAAGAGAAAUUUUUGGACGGUGGUUAAGAAAAAGUAGAUCUAGCAUUCACGCUUUAACAUCGUGCAUUGACAUAUCUUUAUAGGUCAGGGGCUGCAUUGUCCUUACAGUCUGAGCUGUGUCCUGAUGUCGAUAUUUCAUCCUUGCCAAAGAUUUUGAUUCUAAAUCUCUCAGCUUGACAUAUGUUUUCCACAUGUUAAGUGCAGAUGAUGCAACAUUUGUGCAGAUUAUACUUUUCCGAAGUUUGGUAUAUUCAUUUUCUGGUUUCUCCUUUUGUUUUUACAGCACAGGGACAGGGAACACCCCAACAACCACCACUCCAAGCACAGGCACAACACCUACCGGCACCGGCACAACACCUACCGGCACAGGCACCAGCACAGGCACAGGCACCGGCACAGGCACAGGCACAGGCACACCUUCAUCUAUAAUUCCUACUCCUCCUUCAUCAGUGUUCAACUCAGGAUUGGGCCCAACUGGUUUCAAUGAUAAUAGUAGCGAGGCUCCUGCUUUUAAGGG